GCAAGUCGAACGGUAACAGGACAUAGCUUGCUAUUUUGCUGACGAGUGGCGGACGGGUGAGUAAUGCUUGGGCAUUUGCUGAAAGAUGGGGGACAACAGUUGGAAACGACUGCUAAUACCGCAUAAUGUCUACGGACCAAAGCAGGGGACCUUCGGGCCUUGCGUCUUUCGAUGAGCCCAAGUGGGAUUAGCUAGUUGGUAAGGUAAUGGCUUACCAAGGCGACGAUCCCUAGCUGGUCUGAGAGGAUGACC
rnacentral:rRNA from 1 species